rnacentral:rRNA from 1 species
AUGAACGCUGGCGGCGUGCCUAAUACAUGCAAGUCGAGCGAACAGAUAAGGAGCUUGCUCCUUUGACGUUAGCGGCGGACGGGUGGGUAACACGUGGGUAACCUACCUAUAAGACUGGGAUAACUUCGGGAAACCGGAGCUAAUACCGGAUAACAUUUGGAACCGCAUGGUUCUAAAGUGAAAGAUGGUUUUGCUAUCACUUAUAGAUGGACCCGCGCCGUAUUAGCUAGUUGGUAAGGUAACGGCUUACCAAGGCGACGAUACGUAGCCGACCUGAGAGGGUGAUCGGCCACACUGGAACUGAGACACGGUCCAGACUCCUACGGGAGGCAGCAGUAGGGAAUCUUCCGCAAUGGGCGAAAGCCUGACGGAGCAACGCCGCGUGAGUGAUGAAGGGUUUCGGCUCGUAAAACUCUGUUAUUAGGGAAGAACAAACGUGUAAGUAACUGUGCACGUCUUGACGGUACCUAAUCAGAAAGCCACGGCUAACUACGUG